rnacentral:tRNA from 1 species
GGUGGCUCAGUGGUAGAGUGCUUGCCUUGCAUGCAUGAGGCCUUGGGUUCGAUUCCCUAGCACCA